AACACCUCAAGUCCCAAGAUUUGUUUCUUGGGGUUUGGAUUUGAGUAAUCCUAACGAGAAGGCAUUCGCCAACUUGGCAGGUCACUUGAAAUGCAGGUGCAGCUGAACAUUCUUCUGAGCUAAAAGCAUAUUUAUUUAGUCCUGUUGACUCUUUAUGAGUUUGCGGAUUAUUACUUUUGCUGCAGCUAACAUAAAGGUUGAAUGAUUUCAAAUGCUGACUGAUGCAGGAAUUUAUCAGUUUAUAUAAAACUGUUAA
rnacentral:misc_RNA from 1 species